CCUACGGGAGGCAGCAGUGGGGAAUAUUGGACAAUGGGCGAAAGCCUGAUCUAGCCAUGCCGCGUGAGUGAUGAAGGCCCUAGGGUCGUAAAGCUCUUUCGCCAGGGACGAUAAUGACGGUACCUGGAUAAGAAGCCCCGGCUAACUUCGUGCCAGCAGCCGCGGUAAU
rnacentral:rRNA from 1 species